rnacentral:rRNA from 1 species
UACGAAGGGUGCAAGCGUUACUCGGAAUUACUGGGCGUAAAGCGUGCGUAGGCGGUUAGUUAAGUCUGCUGUGAAAGCCCUGGGCUCAACCUGGGAACUGCAGUGGAUACUGGCUAGCUAGAGUGUGUCAGAGGAUGGUGGAAUUCCCGGUGUAGCAGUGAAAUGCGUAGAGAUCGGGAGGAACAUCUGUGGCGAAGGCGACUACCUGGACCAGCACUGACACUGAGGCACGAAAGCGUGGGGAGCAAACAGG